GUUUGAAGCUGUGUGGAAGGCAGUUACCGAGAUAUACAGUAUAGUUACCGUGACCACAGUUAGCGAAACGCGAAAGAGUUCAAUUUACAACAUGGAUAAAAUGGGGCAGAAGACAGUCCUAAAUGAACAAGAGACAGAGAGCGAUGAAGAAGAGUACAAUGAACUCAGGAGAAAAGACUAUGAGGAGUCUCUAAAGACCGGCAGGUCAAAGGCUAAGAAGUUGACGGAAGCCUGU